rnacentral:pre_miRNA from 1 species
AAAGUCUUAAUGCAGGUUUAAGGUUUUAAAGUUUAAAACCGCACUAAGACUUUUG